GGUCGAUUCUGGCUCAGAUGAACGCUGGCGGGAUGUUUACACAUGCAAAUGAACGGCAGCACGGACUCGGUCCGGUGGCGAGAAAUGGCGAACGGCGAGUAAUGUAUCGGAACGUGCCUAGUAGCGGGGGAUAACUAUUACGAGCGGUAGCUAAUACCGCAUACGAUCCUUCGGGAAAGCGGGGGACCUUCGGGCUCCUCGCACUAGAGCGGCUUAUAUCGGAUGAAUAGGUUGGUGGCAACGGCUCGCCAAGGCGACGAGAUCCGUAGCUAGUUUGAGAGGACGACCAGCCACACUGGGACUGAGACACGGCCCAGACUCACGGGAGGCAGUGGGGAAUUUUGGAUGAAGGCUGGGGAAACCCCUGAUCCAGCCAUCCCGCGUGUGCGAUGAAGGCCUUCGGUUGUAAAGCACUUUUACAGUGGAAAGAAAACGGCACGGGAUAAUACCCCGUGCAAUCCUGACGGUACCUGCAGAAUACAAUCGGCGCCAACUACGUGCCAGCAAAGCCGGUAAUACGUAGAGUGCAAAAGAAAGAAUCGGAAAAUUACUACAAAGGCAGCAAGGUCUGGAAAGAUGAUGAAAUCCGAGCUUAACUUUGAACUGGGCAUUUAACUACCGAGUUGAGUGCGUCGGGAGGGAGGGAAUUCCAUGUAGCAGUGAAACGCGUAGAUAUGCGGAGGAACACCAUUGCGAAGGCAGCCUCCGGGAUAAUACCGACGCUCAUGCAACGAAAGCGUGGGGAGCAAACAGGAUUAGAUACCCUGGUAGUCCACGCCCAACAAGAAGCCAACUAGCUGUUGGGGCCUUCGGGCCUUGUAGCAGCAGCUAAUCGCGUAGUUGACCGCCUGGAGUACGGUCGCAAGAUUAAACUCAAAGGAAUUGACGGGACCGCAAUGCUGGUGGACGAUGUGAUUAAUUCGAUGCAACGCGAAAAAACCUGCACUACCUUGACAUGUCUUGAAUCCAAGACGGGAGUGCUCGCAAGAGAACCGGAACACAGGUGCUGCAUGGCUGUCGUCAGCCUGUGUCGAGAUGUCGGGUUAAGUCCUUCGCAACGAGCGCAACCCUUGUCAUUAGUUGCUACGAAAGGGCACUCUAUCGAGACUGCCGGUGACAAACCGGAGGAAGGUGGGAUGACGUCAAGUCCUCAUGGCCUCUGCGGCAGGGCUUCACACGUCAUACAAUGAUGGGGACAGAGGGUCGCCAACCCGCGAGGGGAGCCAAUCCCAGGAAACCUGAUCAGUCCGGAUCGCAGAAGCCCGUAACUGACUGCGCAGCCGGAAUCGCCAGUGGUCCGUGAUCAGCAUGUCGCGUGAAUACGUUCGGUCUGUACACACCGCCCGUCACACCAUGGGAGUGGGAUUACCAGAAGUAGUUGUGUCUGACCGUAAGGAGGGCGAUUACCACGGUAGGAUUCAUGACUGGGGUAUGCCGCAACAAGGUGGUG
rnacentral:rRNA from 1 species